UUUUGGUUGGGGUAACCAUAGAGUUGAAAUCUCUAGUUUUAUAGAAGAGUUUUACUCUCUAAAAAAGUUUUAUGAACCAGUUUUUCUGAAAUCAGAAUAAGUUACCGCAGGGAUAACAGCGUUAUCUUCUUUGAGAGUUCUUAUUGACAAGAAGGAUUGCGACCUCGAUGUUGGAUUGGGGCAUCCUUAGGGUGUAGCAGCUUUAAAGGGUUGGACUGUUCGUCCAUU
rnacentral:rRNA from 1 species